rnacentral:rRNA from 1 species
AUGCACGCUGGCGGCGUGCCUAAUACAUGCCAGUCGAGCGAACAGAUAAGGAGCUUGCUCCUUUGACGUUAGCGGCGGACGGGUGAGUAACACGUGGGUAACCUACCUAUAAGACUGGGAUAACUUCGGGAAACCGGAGCUAAUACCGGAUAAUAUUUCGAACCGCAUGGUUCGAUAGUGAAAGAUGGUUUUGCUAUCACUUAUAGAUGGACCCGCGCCGUAUUAGCUAGUUGGUAAGGUAACGGCUUACCAAGGCGACGAUACGUAGCCGACCUGAGAGGGUGAUCGGCCACACUGGAACUGAGACACGGUCCAGACUCCUACGGGAGGCAGCAGUAGGGAAUCUUCCGCAAUGGGCGAAAGCCUGACGGAGCAACGCCGCGUGAGUGAUGAAGGUCUUCGGAUCGUAAAACUCUGUUAUUAGGGAAGAACAUACGUGUAAGUAACUGUGCACGUCUUGACGGUACCUAAUCAGAAAGCCACGGCUAACUACGUG